GUGGGGAAUCUUGCGCAAUGGGCGAAAGCCUGACGCAGCCAUGCCGCGUGAAUGAUGAAGGUCUUAGGAUUGUAAAAUUCUUUCACCGGGGAAGAUAAUGACGGUACCCGGAGAAGAAGCCCCGGCUAACUUCGUGCCAGCAGCCGCGGUAAUACGAAGGGGGCUAGCGUUGCUCGGAAUUACUGGGCGUAAAGGGCGCGUAGGCGGACAUUUAAGUCAGAGGUGAAAGCCCAGGGCUCAACCUUGGAAUUGCCUUUGAUACUGGAUGUCUUGAGUUCGGGAGAGGUGAGUGGAAUGCCGAGUGUAGAGGUGAAAUUCGUAGAUAUUCGGCGGAACACCAGUGGCGAAGGCGACUCACUGGCCCGAUACUGACGCUGAGGCGCGAAAGCGUGGGGAGCAGACAGGAUUAGAAACCCGAGUAGUCC
rnacentral:rRNA from 1 species